ensembl:lncRNA
ACUUUGAGAUUGUUAACAAAUUUUAUUCCUUAAUAAAAGACUAUUCACAAUUCAGGAAAAAAAAAAAUAAAGACUGAACAGAUUCUGCGCAGGUCACCCAAAGUUUAGCACUUACUAUUUUUAAAGUCAUUGCCUUAAAGCUUAAAGUCCUACUGCUCUCUCAAGUAUGAUUGUGUAAUUUUGGGUUAAGGGGACUGAAGGGAAUUAUAUACAGCAGAUAUAGAGAUACUACGGCAGUAAAAACUAAGUAUAGUCUUUACUAAAACUCAGUUUGCAAGAUGCUCUGUUGUUGUGUGCAGACUGAUUUCUUGGGCCAUUUCUUGACAUUUUUCUCUGAAAACCUGAAGUCUUCCUUCCAGCAUUCAUACUCACUGUUAUACGUAGAGAAAGCCAAUCAUUGUGAUGAUAUGGCUGUAUCAUUAUUAAACAGUGCAGCCUAUGCGGUUCCUUUGUGCAUCACAGCACACCUAGGUUUCUCUUCGACCUUUCAAAUUUGGCCAAAAGAAUGGAUGAGGAAAUUAGGGUGUCUCUUUGCUGUUCUUUUCUUGUUACAUCCUGAUGUUAUAACCAAAACAUGGUUUGCAUUCCUCCGCCUUCAUCUGUUUCACCACAAAUAUAAUUACUUGAUGUGCAGCAUACUCAGCCUCCCCAUUGCAUCUCUUUGGAGGACUGCUGAAAGAAAGUGUUAGAUGGACUCUGACAUAUAUGCUCCAUUAUACAGCAUAAGUGAAUCUCAUAAACAGGAAAUCUCAUAAAGAGGAACAAAAAGGAAGAGAAACUGGAGUUUAGACUCCAUACCACUGGUCAAAUAUUGUACACUAUCCCGAGCACUGUCUGACUUCCCUGGAAAUUAAAUAAGGCAGUUUGACCUGCUGCUGCACACAUGCUAUGCUUUCAGAAGCCAUAUGUGGAAUUCCCCAAAACUCUUCUACAUUAAAUGCCAAACAUUAGAGAAAGCUUAAAGAAGUGUCAGCUCUUGGAAGAUCACAUCAGGAUCGAAAACCAGACCUGUCCAGACCUGUUCAAACUCAAGUCUUCAGCUUUUAUAUCAAAACUAGUAACAAAAAAAAUCUGUGUUUGGAUUCUGCUUGGUACAAAAUUUCAAUUUGCCUGCCUUUACUUAAACUAUUACUAAUGUAGAAGCAAGAAUAAGAGAGAAUUUUGAAAACGUGUUGCUGCAUGUAUCCUGAGAUUAGCACUAUAACUUCAGUAUUGUUCAUUUUAGACAAAUUUCCAGCAAUGGAGGAUAUUGUCCCCAAAACUCCACAUGCAUCCUCACCAGUGCAGAGCAGAAUGGAAGUGUCACCUCCCCUUGACCUGCUGGCAAAGCUGACAUCUUUCAUAAAGAUUGACAACUGUUUCUCCAUUAAAGAAUAAUAAUUUUAGUAAGAAUGUAUUGGCCCUUACAAGAACAUGCAUUUUCAGCUCUGACUGUUUCUCCCAAACCACACAAGGUAUUACUGACUGUCCUUAUUUACAGUUUUGAGCUUUUGGACAGACAUUCAACAUUGCAGCUGAAUAAAUAAGUUACAUGACGUUCUUUCCCGUACCA